ensembl:lncRNA
UGCUACUGUUUUUGUUAAAUAAUUACUUGCUGGCUAAAUGAACUAAUGAUGUGGUGAGAGCUGAAGGCUUGUCUGUUCUUGAGGUGUUUGUUUAUUGUCUUCAGUUUCCACAUAUUGGAUUGACCUGUGCUGCUUCUAUACCAGCCUGAGAUGGAUUACACUGGUGUAUCUGCCCAGACUAGCCCAGGAUCCUGGUUCCUGUCUUGGAAAGUGAAAGAUGCAAGGAGUCCCUGGGAAGAGGCAUUUCAUUAAGGAUGGACAUGAGGUCAUGAUUAAGAAGAGGGCCAGAAGAAGUCAUAGCAAGGGCAUCUCCCACCGAUGGAACAAGAACCAAGAGAUGAAGCACAUCAAAAACAAAGGCAGAAAUGGAGAAACAGAUUCCUGACAGAUCUUGUUACAUGUUUUGCUGCUUUUCUGUUUGAACAAAGUCGUGAUGAGCCUCUCGAGUCUGAGAGGAACCAGGAAAGGAAAAUGGGAGUGUGCAGCUGCCUCAAGGAGGAGGCCAGAUGAGGACGGGCAGGAGGUUCUCCAGGCUGAGAAAGAAGACAUGGAGACAACCUGGUAUUGCACUGGGAUCUGGAAGCUUCAUGCAUGUUUCAGAACACCUUUAAACAGAAGGCUUUUGAGGGAGUGGUGGAAGGAGGCUACUAUUUAAACAAAGUGCUUAUUCUACUUGAAGAAGUUGAAUUGCAGUCUGGGGGUGCACUACGGCCACUCCCAAAGCUGCGGGCACAACAAGCUGAGGCAUCACUUAACACUGUAUUUUAAGGCCUUGUAGCCCAAGAUGAGAUGCACACAAACAAACCUGGAAGGACUGGAGACUAGGGAUGGGGCGAAAGGUAAGACUCAUAAGAAAUGCAGUAGGUCUGGGCUGUGGUGGCUGGUGUGUGCCAUGACCAUCCCUCCCCAUUCACAAUAGUCUUUUCCUUCUCUCAGGAAGAAGGGCCUUCUUUCCUCAACAAG